UACAGAGGUCUCAAGCGUUGUUCGGAUUCAUUGGGCGUAAAGGGUGCGUAGGCGGCGCGGUAAGUCGGGUGUGAAAUCUCGGAGCUUAACUCCGAAACUGCAUUCGAUACUGCCGUGCUUGAGGACUGGAGAGGAGACUGGAAUUUACGGUGUAGCGGUGAAAUGCGUAGAUAUCGUAAGGAAGACCAGUGGCGAAGGCGGGUCCCUGGACAGUUCCUGACGCUGAGGCACGAAGGCCAGGGGAGCAAACGGGG
rnacentral:rRNA from 1 species